GAUCAUGGCUCAGAACGAACGCUUCGACAUGCUUAACACAUGCAAGUUGUACGGACUGGUUUCUCGUAGCAAUACGAGGGAAUUAAGUUAGUGGCAAACGGGUGAGUAAUACACGAGAACAUACCCUGUAAUCACGGAUAAUCACCGGAAACGGUGUGUAAUACGAGAUGAUGCAGAAAUGUCAAAGGGAAACCGUUACGGGAGUGGCUCGUGGUAGAUUAGAUAGUUGGUGGUGUAAUGGACUACCAAGUCGAAGAUCUAUAGCUGGUCUGAGAGGACGAACAGCCACAUUGGGACUGAGACACGGCCCAGACUUCUACGGAAGGCAGCAGUGGGGAAUAUUAGGCAAUGGGAGAAAUCCUGACCUAAGCGAUGUCGAGUGAAUGAUGAAGGAUUUUGGUCUGUAAAAUUCUUUUGCGAAGGAUUAUUAUGAAGUUACUUUGCGAAUAAGCACCGGCUAACUUCGUGCCAGCCGCCGC
rnacentral:rRNA from 1 species